rnacentral:rRNA from 1 species
UACAGAGGGUGCAAGCGUUAUCCGGAUUUACUGGGUUUAAAGGGUGCGUAGGCGGUUUGAUAAGUCAGAGGUGAAAGUUAAUCGCUUAACGAUUAAAUUGCCUUUGAUACUGUCAGACUUGAGAUAAGUUGAGGUUGGCGGAAUGAGACAUGUAGCGGUGAAAUGCUUAGAUAUGUCUUAGAACACCGAUUGCGAAGGCAGCUGACUGGACUUCAUCUGACGCUGAGGCACGAAAGCGUGGGGAGCAAACAGG